rnacentral:misc_RNA from 1 species
CAUUCUUGAAGCUACAUUCUCUUCCUGGGAAGCAGUAAGGAGUUUCCAAAUGACCCACGGCGGUUAGUUCAUAACAAAAUAAUAGUUGGUUACGGUUUGGGGACUUGGGCGAUAAACUCCAGGAGGGAACGCGAGAUGACGAGUGCUUAGGUAUGGUUUUCGGGCUUGGCCGUCGCUCAUUGGGUAAAUCACAUCUUCUAAAGAGUACCAGGGAUCCAACAGCUAUUAGCUUGAGACGUGAAAUCAAACAGCAGCUAAAGAGAGCUCCGCGUUAAGGGCAGCCUGAUGUGAUGCCUUCCUUGAGGGGUAAGGAUAAGAACCCGGGCACAUGUAAACCCCGAGGUCUGGUUGGUUGUGUAUCACCUGAUUUAAUAACACAUGCCAGCAUCCAAGUGAGAGCAUUCUCCCGGUGAGCGAGAGAGAAAAACCCUAGUUUUUGGGUAUGGGUAUUGGGUAGGAGCUAUGAGCGGGUAGACGGGUUCCAUGAUGGGAAUGGCUUUCGGGUUCGGGUUAGAAAGAUGUAAGAUCCUUCUGCCUCAGGUAUAUUUUAUAUGUUUUCGUAUAGUGGUGCUUGCCCUCUUUUAUACAUAUUAUUUGAUAAAUGUUUUAUUUAUUGAAUUGUUUGAUAAACCUUAUGGGCCCCACUUGCUCCUUAAAGGCUUGCUAAGGGUUCCGGUGGCCUUAAGACUUCCCGUUCCCUGUAGCGCCGGUAACGAUUCCGUUUGGGUCGUUACAAAGAUGGUAUCAGAGCAUUAGGUUACCAAGAUGGGACCUAGUUGCUAGACAAAUCAGAGUCGUGUUUGAGUCUGGGCCAUUUUGUUAAAGAAAAUGAUUUUUGAAACCUUAGAAGCACAGCAAAUUUUGUAUACAUGUCUUGUUAUUUUGUAGAGCUGGCUGCAAUUUUGUUUAGUGAGAUGUGAUGUUCUGGUUAUACUCAUGGUAUGGGACAUGAGUUGAGUAUGAGUACAAAUAGUCGAUAAGUGUUCUUGGUUGCAAAACCAAGACUACGGGGAUUUUUUUGGUGCUAAAGGAUGAAUCUUGGUAUAGGGAUGAGACAGUGUUCCCUGAGGGGGAUGGGUAAUGGAGGUAAAGUGAAUGAUAAAAUGUGAUAAGAAAGGGUUUCCUUAGUCGAAGACCCUAAGAGGAAAGACGAAAAGGCCAACCUCCAACCCUUGGUAUACAUAAAGACCAAGUUCAGAAUCCUGCACCAGUAAGGAAAGAGUGGCAUAGAAUGCAAAUUCUAUGUAAUGAGGAAGACAAGAUGUAGUGUGGAUGAGGGCCUACUCAAGUGAGAGGCACUAACACUUUGGGAAGUAAAGUCAGUGUGAGCACCCUGGAAGGGGUUGCAGCUGCCAAUAUAGGCAGAUUAACUGAUAGGUGCCAAGUGAAAUACGGGUAUGAUAUGGUGUCUACCCAGUGAAAGGCACAAGUAUGGAAGGGAAUUGAGUAUGCUUGAGUGUCCCAAAAUGGGACAUAGCUUCCUAGGUAGGCAGUAUUACAGAUGGAUGUCCUGUUAGGACAUGUGUUUCACCUGAGCUAGGUGCAAAGGGUAGAAGUUUGAGACCUUAAGUGGUCUAAUGGUAAUGCAGUAUUCUAUUCACCCUUCAAAACGGGUAGUCCUAUAAACUGCAGAUCACAGUGAGGACAUGAGGGAAAUGGAUAGAACUGCGUGCCAUAUGAGGACACCCAGAGAGGAUGUAUACUCAUACGGCUACUGCCUAUGGCUAGUGUUGCAGAGUAUGGAUAAACUCUUGCAAUAGAGUCAGAGACUCCUAGUGAGGGCUAGUGACCCUCAAGGCAAAAAGGGAAUGAGACAGUCAGAGUGAGUGACUAUGUCACUCUAAGACAAACCAUUUGGUCUCCCGUGUGGGAUUUCAGAUGGUCUAGGCGUCACAUUUGAUGAUUGCCUAGUGUAUAUGAGGACAGAGUUCUCUCCCUCAGAGGAGAGUGAGAUGCAGAACAUCGUUCUGCUCUAUGAGAAAGAGAGAAGGUUAUGAAUGAUGAUCAUAACCUGUGGGAUGGUAUCCUAGGAAAG